CGUAAGCAAAGAUUUAACUGUUGUUAGAUGAAUUUGACGGCAGACCCCUAAUUGAGUCAAAUUUACACUAAUAGGGACUCAAUUGAUACGCGAAAAAGAAAAGGAACCUAUUUAAGAUUUUGGACAAAAAUAGGGACUUCUAGUGAGAUUAAACCAUAUUUUUAUUAAUUUUCAAUGAAAAAAGGUAGAAUAAUCGAUUACAAUACUGACUAAUUGAUUACAAUGAUCAAACGUCGUUUUUUGUCUAUGUUGACUGUUAAUACCCAAUUUCGUCCGGAUUAUCUUUCUAAUAUUUUUGUUGUCACAUAUUCAACCCUUUUAUUAUUCAUUCACCUAUUUUCUUUUUUGUUUAUUUUUAUCACCUUCUUACUUAUUUUUGUUUUAUGGUAGUUAUUUUAUUUUAGUUUAUCUUUUUUAUUUUAUUU
rnacentral:lncRNA from 1 species